CUCUGCUGGGUUAGAUGGGUCACAGCUUGUGAACUCGUUUCUUCUCACGACCUCCUGCACUGCAACCUGGACUCUAAGACAGGUCUUAAAAGAAGAUUGCUGUCUCUCCUGCUCUACUCUCCCUACAUACCCAAAGAGUCUGAAACCCACAGCCAUGAGGACGCUCACUCUGCUCACCACCCUUCUCCUGCUGGCCUCCACACCCAGGCAGAAUCUCCCCAAGGAAGCAGAAGCACUGAGGAGGCUCUAGAUCAGGAGCAGCUGGUCAUGGAGGACCAGGAUAUUUCCAUAUCCUUUGGAGGGGAUAAAGGCACUGCUCUCCAAGAUGCAGAUGUGAAGUCAGGCGUGACCUGCUAUUGCAGACUCCUCAGCUGUCAAUUUGGGGAACGACUCGCUGGGUCCUGCCGUUCUGGUGGCGUCACCUACCCCCUCUGCUGCCACUGAGCAAUAAGAAGAAGAAGAAUGUAUUUUCAUAUAACUAGAGAUUUUUAAAGAGACUGUUAUUUGUCCCACGUUGUGUCCUUGAGUUUUCUCUUCCAUAACAUCCAAAGAAAGUCCUUACAACAAGU